rnacentral:tRNA from 1 species
GUGGUACUGGCGUAGUGGUAAACGCAUCUGGCUACUUCCCAGGAGACAGCGGUUCGAAUCCGUUGCACUACA